AUUGAACGCUGGCGGCAUGCUUUACACAUGCAAGUCGAACGGUAACAGGUUAAGCUGACGAGUGGCGAACGGGUGAGUAAUGCAUCGGAACGUGCCCGGUCGUGGGGGAUAACGCAGCGAAAGCUGCGCUAAUACCGCAUACGAUCUGAGGAUGAAAGCGGGGGACCGUAAGGCCUCGCGCGAUCGGAGCGGCCGAUGUCAGAUUAGGUAGUUGGUGGGGUAAAGGCUCACCAAGCCGACGAUCUGUAGCUGGUCUGAGAGGACGACCAGCCACACGGGGACUGGGACACGGCCCAGACUCCUACGGGAGGCAGCAGUGGGGAAUUUUGGACAAUGGGCGAAAGCCUGAUCCAGCAAUGCCGCGUGCAGGAAGAAGGCCUUCGGGUUGUAAACUGCUUUUGUACGGAGCGAAAAGGCCCUCUCUAAUACAGGGGGCUCAUGACGGUACCGUAAGAAUAAGCACCGGCUAACUACGUGCCAGCCGCCGCAGUAAGAC
rnacentral:rRNA from 1 species